rnacentral:misc_RNA from 1 species
GAUGAAGAACGUAGCGAAAUGCGAUACGUAAUGUGAAUUGCAGAAUUCAGUGAAUCAUCGAGUCUUUGAACGCACAUUGCGCCCCCUGGUAUUCCGGGGGGCAUGCCUGUCCGAGCGUCAUUGCUGCCCUCAAGCACGGCUUGUGUGUUGGGCCUCCGUCCUCCUCCCGGGGGACGGGCCCGAAAGGCAGCGGCGGCACCGCGUCCGGUCCUCGAGCGUAUGGGGCUUCGUCACCCGCUCUUGUAGGCCCGGCCGGCGCUUGCCGACACAUCAAUCUUUUUUCCAGGUUGACCUCGGAUCAGGUAGGGAUAUCCGCUGAACUUAAGCAUAUCAAUAAGCGGAGGA